UACGAAGGGGGCUAGCGUUGCUCGGAAUCACUGGGCGUAAAGCGCACGUAGGCGGAUUGUUAAGUCAGGGGUGAAAUCCUGGAGCUCAACUCCAGAACUGCCUUUGAUACUGGGAAUCUCGAGUCCGGGAGAGGUGAGUGGAACUGCGAGUGUAGAGGUGAAAUUCGUAGAUAUUCGCAAGAACACCAGUGGCGAAGGCGGCUCACUGGCCCGGUACUGACGCUGAGGUGCGAAAGCGUGGGGAGCAAACAGGG
rnacentral:rRNA from 1 species